CCUACGGGGGACAGCAGUGAGGAAUAUUGGUCAAUGGACGAGAGUCUGAACCAGCCAAGUAGCGUGAAGGAUGACUGCCCUAUGGGUUGUAAACUUCUUUUAUAAAGGAAUAAAACGAGGCACGGGUGCCUUUUUGCAUGUAAUUUAUGAAUAAGGAUCGGCUAACUCCGUGCCAGCAGCCGCGGUAAUACGGAGGAUCCGAGCGUUAUCCGGCUUGAUUGGGUUUAAAGGGAGCGUAGAUGGGUUGUUAAGUCAGUUGUGAAAGUUUGCGGCUCAACCGUAAAAUUGCAAUUGAUACUGGCAGUCUUGAGUACAGUUGAGGUAGGCGGAAUUCGUGGUGUAGCGGUGAAAUGCUUAGAUAUCACGAAGAACCCCGAUUGCGAAGGCAGCUUACUAAACUGUGACUGACAUUGAUGCUCGAAAGUGUGGGUAUCAAACAGGAUUAGAUACCCUAGUAGUC
rnacentral:rRNA from 1 species